CAGCCGCCGCGGUAAUACGUAGGGGGCGAGCGUUGUCCGGAAUUAUUGGGCGUAAAGCGCGCGCAGGCGGUCCCUUAAGUCUGAUGUGAAAGCCCACGGCUCAACCGUGGAGGGUCAUUGGAAACUGGGGGACUUGAGUGCAGAAGAGGAGAGCGGAAUUCCACGUGUAGCGGUGAAAUGCGUAGAGAUGUGGAGGAACACCAGUGGCGAAGGCGGCUCCCUGGUCUGUAACUGACGCUGAGGCGCGAAAGCGUGGGGAGCAAACAGGAUUAGAUCCCCUGGUAGUCCACGCCGUAAACGAUGAGUGCUAAGUGUUAGAGGGGUUAAACCCUUUAGUGCUGUAGCUAACGCGUUAAGCACUCCGCCUGGGGAGUACGGCCGCAAGGCUGAAACUUAAAGGAAUUGGCGGG
rnacentral:rRNA from 1 species